AGUGAACGCUGGCGGUAGGCCUAACACAUGCCAGUCGAACGGCAGCACAGUAAGAGCUUGCUCUUACGGGUGGCGAGUGGCGGACGGGUGAGGAAUACAUCGGAAUCUACUUUUUCGUGGGGGAUAACGUAGGGAAACUUACGCUAAUACCGCAUACGACCUACGGGUGAAAGCAGGGGAUCUUCGGACCUUGCGCGAUUGAAUGAGCCGAUUUCGGAUUAGCUAGUUGGCGGGGUAAAGGCCCACCAAGGCGACGAUCCGUGGCUGGUCUGAGAGGAUGAUCAGCCACACUGGAACUGAGACACGGUCCAGACUCCCACGGGAGGCAGCAGUGGGGAAUAUUGGACAAUGGGCGCAAGCCUGAUCCAGCCAUACCGCGUGGGUGAAGAAGGCCUUCGGGUUGUAAAGCCCUUUUGUUGGGAAAGAAAAGCAGCAGGUUAAUACCCCGCUGUUCUGACGGUACCCAAAGAAUAAGCACCGGCUAACUUCGUG
rnacentral:rRNA from 1 species